rnacentral:rRNA from 1 species
UACAGAGGUCUCAAGCGUUGUUCGGAUUCAUUGGGCGUAAAGGGCGCGUAGGCGGCGAGGUAAGUCGGGUGUGAAAUCUCAGAGCUCAACUCUGAAACUGCACUCGAUACUGCUUUGCUAGAGGACUGGAGAGGAGAUUGGAAUUCACGGUGUAGCAGUGAAAUGCGUAGAGAUCGUGAGGAAGACCAGUGGCGAAGGCGGAUCUCUGGACAGUUACUGACGCUGAGGAGCGAAGGCCAGGGGAGCAAACGGG